GGCAUAGUGGCUGAGUGGUAAAGGGCUUGGCUUCUGAACAAAAGGGUCUAUGGUUCAAAUCCUGGUGAUGACU
rnacentral:tRNA from 1 species